rnacentral:rRNA from 1 species
AGUGAACGCUGGCGGUAGGCCUAACACAUGCAAGUCGAACGGCAGCACAGUAAGAGCUUGCUCUUACGGGUGGCGAGUGGCGGACGGGUGAGGAAUACAUCGGAAUCUACUUUUUCGCGGGGGAUAACGUAGGGAAACUUACGCUAAUACCGCAUACGACCUACGGGUGAAAGCAGUGGAUCUUCGGACCUUGCGCGAUUGAAUGAGCCGAUGUCGGAUUAGCUAGUUGGCGGGGUAAAGGCCCACCAAGGCGACGAUCCGUAGCUGGUCUGAGAGGAUGAUCAGCCACACUGGAACUGAGACACGGUCCAGACUCCUACGGGAGGCAGCAGUGGGGAAUAUUGGACAAUGGGCGCAAGCCUGAUCCAGCCAUACCGCGUGGGUGAAGAAGGCCUUCGGGUUGUAAAGCCCUUUUGUUGGGAAAGAAAAGCAGCAGGUUAAUACCCCGCUGUUCUGACGGUACCCAAAGAAUAAGCACCGGCUAACUUCGUG